rnacentral:rRNA from 1 species
AUGCAUGUAUCAGUACAAGCCUUACUAAGGUGAAACCGCGAAUGGCUCAUUAAAUCAGUUAUUAUUUACUGGCCGAGACUGUGAUACAUGGAUAACUGUGGUAAUUCUAGAGCUAAUACAUGCAACCGAGCCCCAGCCCGGCCUCUCGGGGUCGGCGGGGCGCUUUUAUUGGCUGAAAACCGAUGAUUGCCUCUCGUAGGCAGUCGUUAUCUGUUGAAUCACAAUAACAUUGUGUGGAUCGUACGGUCUCGUACCGACGACGCGCCUUUCAAAUGUCUGCCCUAUCAGCUCUCGACGGUUAGCUAGUGGCUGACCGUGGCCGUGACGGGUAACGGGGAAUCUGGGUUCGAUUCCGGAGAGGGAGCCUGAGAGACGGCUACCACAUCUAAGGGAGGCAGCAGGCGCGUAACUUACCCACUCCCAGUUCAGGGAGGUAGUGACAAUAAAUACCUUACAGAGGUACCGUUUACCGGUAUCUCUCAAACGGAAUGAGUACAACGUGAAUCCUUUAACGAGGAUCAACUGGAGGGCAAGCCUGGUGCCAGCAGCCGCGGUAAUUCCAGCUCCAGUAGCGUAUAUUAAAGCUGUUGCGGUUAAAAAGCUCGUAGUUGGAUAUCAGUGCGUGUCCACGUCCGGUAUGCCCGGGGUUGGCGUUCGCGCGCUGCCCUGGGCUUCCAAAUAUCGGCUGGCCGCAUUCAAUCGUGCCGGAUCCGUUGACGGGCCGUUCUUCCGAGGGGCCUGUCGGCGACCGGCGACGUUACCUUGAACAAAUUAGAGUGCUCAAAGCAGGCUCUCAAUGCCUGUAUAUAUAUUCAUGGAAUUGGAGAAUACGUCCCUGGCUCGAUUUGGUUGGUUUUGAGAGUCGAAAGGGAAAUGAUUAAUAGGGACUGACGGANGCAUUCGUAUUGCGGCGCGAGGGGUGAAAUCCUGUGACCGUCGCACGACGAACUACUGCG